rnacentral:RNase_P_RNA from 1 species
GGAGUGGGCCGGGUGGUCGCUCCGAUCGCUGAUCGGGGAGGAAAGUCCGGGCUCCACAGGGCAGGGUGGUGGGUAACACCCACCGGGGGUGACCCCAGGGAAAGUGCCACAGAAAACAUACCGCCCCGCCAGCAGCUCUGGCUCUUUUUCUUGCAGGGAGCUGCCUGCGGGGUAAGGGUGAAAAGGUGCGGUAAGAGCGCACCAGCAGUCCGGUGACGGCCUGGCUUGGCAAACCCCACCCGGAGCAAGGUCAAAUAGGUUCCGCUUCCACGCUGUCGUUCAUCGAGCGCGAGUGAGGAUGAGAGUGGCCCGCUCUCAUGGCCAGAAAGGCAGGCGGAACGGGUAGGCCGCUAGAGUUCCGUAGCGAUGCGGAACCCAGAGGAAUGACUACCGUUCGCCUUUGGGCGAAUACAGAACCCGGCUUAUAGGCCUACUCCGGCC